rnacentral:misc_RNA from 1 species
GAUGAAGAACGCAGCGAAAUGCGAUAAGUAAUGUGAGUUGCAGAAUUCAGUGAAUCAUCGAAUCUUUGAACGCACAUUGCGCCCGCCAGUAUUCUGGCGGGCAUGCCUGUCCGAGCGUCAUUUCAACCCUCGAACCCCUCCGGGGGGUCGGCGUUGGGGAUCGGCCCUGCCUUUGGCGGUGGCCGUCUCCGAAAUACAGUGGCGGUCUCGCCGCAGCCUCUCCUGCGCAGUAGUUUGCACACUCGCAUCGGGAGCGCGGCGCGUCCACAGCCGUUAAACACCCAACUUCUGAAAUGUUGACCUCGGAUCAGGUAGGAAUACCCGCUGAACUUAAGCAUAUCAAUAAGCGGAGGA